UCCUCGGUAGUAUAGUGGUCAGUGUUCCCGCCUAUCACAUGGGCAACCAGAGUUUGAUUCUCCGCCGGGGAG